rnacentral:rRNA from 1 species
AGUGAACGCUGGCGGUAGGCCUAACACAUGCAAGUCGAACGGAAGCACAGUAAGAGCUUGCCCUUACGGGUGGCGAGUGGCGGACGGGUGAGGAAUAGAUCGGCAUCUACUUUUUCGUGGGGGAUAACGUAGGGAAACUUACGCUAAUACCGCAUACGAUCUACGGGUGAAAGCAGGGGAUCAUCGGACCUUUCGCGAUUGUAUGAGCCGAUGUCGGAUUAGCUAGUUGGCGGGGUAAAGGCCUACCAAGGCAACGAUCCGUAGCUGAUCUGAGAGGAUGAUCGGCCACACUGGAACUGAGACACGGUCCAGACUCCUACGGGAGGCAGCAGUAGGGAAUCUUGCGCAAUGGGCGCAAGCCUGAUCCAGCCAUACCGCGUGAGUGAAGAAGGUCUUCGGAUUGUAAAACCCUGUUGUUAGGAAAGAACAACAGCGGAUUUAACUCCCCAUGUUCUGACGGUACCCAAAGAAUAAGCACCGGCUAACUACGUG